AUUGAACGCUGGCGGUAUGCCUUACACAUGCAAGUCGAACGGUAACAGGUCUUCGGAUGCUGACGAGUGGCGAGCGGGUGAGUAAUACAUCGGAACGUGCCUAGUAGUGGGGGAUAACUACUCGAAAGAGUGGCUAAUACCGCAUGAGAUCUACGGAUGAAAGCAGGGGAUCGCAAGACCUUGUGCUACUAGAGCGGCCGAUGGCAGAUUAGGUAGUUGGUGGGAUAAAAGCUUACCAAGCCGACGAUCUGUAGCUGGUCUGAGAGGACGAUCAGCCACACUGGGACUGAGACACGGCCCAGACUCCUACGGGAGGCAGCAGUGGGGAAUUUUGGACAAUGGGCGCAAGACUGAUCCAGCAAUGCCGCGUGCAGGAUGAAGGCCUUCGGGUUGUAAACUGCUUUUGCACGGAACGAAAAGCCCUGGGUUAAUACCCUGGGGUCAUGACGGUACCGUAAGAAUAAGCACCGGCUAACUACGUGCCAGCCGCCGCCGUAAAAC
rnacentral:rRNA from 1 species